rnacentral:rRNA from 1 species
AGAGUUUGAUCAUGGCUCAGAAUGAACGCUGGCGGCAUGCCUAACACAUGCAAGUCGAACGAGAAGGUAUCUUCGGAUACUGGACAGUGGCGCACGGGUGAGUAACAUGUGGGAACCUACCUUUUAGUAAGGAACAACAGUUGGAAACGGCUGCUAAUAUCUUAUACGACCCCCUUAAGUGGAUUUUGGGGGUGAAAGAUUUAUCGCUAAGAGAUGGGCCCGCACUAGAUUAGAUAGUUGGUAAGGUAAUGGCUUACCAAGUCUGCGAUCUAUAGCUGGUUUGAGAAGAUGAUCAGCCACAUUGGGACUGAGACACGGCCCAGACUCCUACGGGAGGCAGCAGUGGGGAAUAUUGUACAAUGGGGGCAACCCUGAUACAGCAAUGCCGCGUGAGUGAAGAAGGCCUUAGGGUUGUAAAACUCUUUCGCUAGGGAAGAUAAUGACGGUACCUAGUAAAGAAGCCCCGGCUAACUCCGUGCCAGCAGCCGCGGUAAUACGGAGGGGGCUAGCGUUAUUCGGAAUUACUGGGCGUAAAGAGUUCGUAGGCGGGCUGGAAAGUUAGAGGUGAAAGCCCAGGGCUCAACCUUGGAACGGCCUUUAAAACUUCCAGUCUAGAGACAGAUAGAGGUAAGGGGAAUACUUAGUGUAGAGGUGAAAUUCGUAGAUAUUAAGUGGAACACCAGUGGCGAAGGCGCCUUACUGGAUCUGUACUGACGCUGAGGAACGAAAGCGUGGGGAGCAAACGGGAUUAGAUACCCCGGUAGUCCACGCCGUAAACGAUGAGUGCUAGUUGUUAGGAGUCUUUGGCUCUUAGUGACGCAGCUAACGCAUUAAGCACUCCGCCUGGGGAGUACGGUCGCAAGAUUAAAACUCAAAGGAAUUGACGGGGGCCCGCACAAGCGGUGGAGCAUGUGGUUUAAUUCGAAGCAACGCGAAGAACCUUACCAGCUCUUGACAUACCUAUCGCGGAUUUCAGAGAUGAUUUCCUUCAGUUUGGCUGGAUAGGAUACAGGUGCUGCACGGCUGUCGUCAGCUCGUGUCGUGAGAUGUUAGGUUAAGUCCUGCAACGAGCGCAACCCUUGCCUUUAGUUACCAUCAUUUAGUUGGGUACUCUAGAGGGACUGCCGGUGAUAAACCGGAGGAAGGUGAGGACGACGUCAAGUCAUCAUGGCCCUUAUGAGCUGGGCUACACACGUGCUACAAUGGCAGAUACAGAGGGUCGCUACCCCGCGAGGGGACGCUAAUCCUUAAAAUCUGUCUCAGUUCAGAUUGUUCUCUGCAACUCGAGAGCAUGAAGUUGGAAUCGCUAGUAAUCGUGGAUCAGCAUGCCACGGUGAAUACGUUCCCGGGCCUUGUACACACCGCCCGUCACACCAUGGGAGUUGGUUUUACCCGACGCUGGUGAGCUAACCUUUUAGGAGGCAGCCAACCACGGUAGAGUCAGCGACUGGGGUGAAGUCGUAACAAGGUA